CUUUGCUGGUUCCUCCUGUUUAAAACACCUUGUGCCCUGUUAUUUCCCCCCUGUGUUCCCUGCUGGUUUUUUCCAUGGAUUUAUGGUUUUUGUUCUGCUCUGUCUCCCUGUGGGUUUUUAUGGAAACAACUGAGCGUUUAUUGUACAAUUUCCCCGACGGUUGAAAAUGUUAGCCAGAAAAUAUUCCUGUGUGGCCCUGUGGAGACUAAACCAUCAUUCUGGUAGUAAGUACAAAUGAGCUUUUGACUGGCCAUGAAUGGGUCAGUGAGUGGGACCUCUGGUCAAACAAGCCGUCAUUUCCUGACUCGGUCUGCGUGUCUUACAUAUUCAUGCUUCUGGGACGGCAGAUUGCCGGACUGAACGGCAGAGUGAGACGGUUUUAGUUUUCUGCAGAGUGAGCAGUUCGCCCCGGGUUUCCGUCCCCAAACAACGUCAUUUUGAUCCCUCUGAAGACUCUAAUCAGACUUUAUCACAACAUUCACACCACACAACAAACACAGCAUCAACAACUCAUCUGCCCCGUCCCAUACUCCUCCUUUUCCCCGAGCCGCUGCGGAUCCGUGUUAGAGACGUCUGAAGCAUGAAAGACGGAGACGGAGGAGAGAAAAGAUUAAACGAAGACAAACAAGAACUGCGGUCUGGGAAAGAUAUUAACAGAGUGCGCAACGGAAGUAAAAGGGUCGAGGCUGGGGGCCGGUGGGGCUCCUGAUGACCUCUCAGGGAAAACCUCAACCUCUGGUGGAUGAGCACGAAACGCUGAGAAAUCGACCAAGAGAAGAAGAGUUUAGGAUGCUCUAACUUAAGGAAGGUCAGAUGAAGGGGACUACAAACAGUCCCCUCCAUGUGAAUCGGCCUCUAAAGACGUUCAAAAACUUUAUAACUAAAUUCAUAACUUUUUGCUAUGAUCUUGUUUUUUUUACUCUGUUGAAAAUGAAAUAAAGAGCACCCAAGAGGUACUUUUGCCCCCCAUUGCUACAAGAUAAAAUGUGUCUAAAGCUGCAAAAACAUACUUAUAAAUAUGAGCUAAGUUAGUUUUAUUUUAGGAAGGAGUGAAAUUACACAAAAAUAUGUCUGUUUUUAUAUUUUAAAACAAAUUGAUCAAAUUUUUACACAGGAAAAAAAAAGUACAUAGGUUGCUAUCCUGAAUCCUGUUCAAGCCUUAUGAAGCAGCUUGUUUUGCACUAAAGUGUCUGCAUUAACACAGCUGUGCAGCUGUCAGCAGGUGAUUCAAUUUCCAAGGCAACAACUUAAUCAGUCACUAGUGAAGUUAGCCUAAGAUUAGUGAUGUGUUAUGUAAGAGCACUCAGGCGCAUAAUGUCUAGAUUUUCUACUUGUGAAACACUCCGGCUGCAUUCCCAUGCGCCGUUCCAGGGACUCCAUGUUCCAUAAGCUGGUGGUAUGGAAUAAGAUGAACGCAUGGAGCAGGGAGGAGAGUUUCCCUGUUUAGUACUGGCUGGAAAAUAAGGAUUUCAGGAAAGAGGGCAAAAAUGUUUAUUGUUUUUGAGCUAAAGGAAAUUAAUUUAUUCUAAACUAUUU